GUGUGGAUGAGGCAACCAAGACAAUGACCAUGGCAGUGGUUCUUCUCUGCUCACCUUCUCUUCUCCCACCUCGUCAUUUUCUCAGGAACCAGAGUAGAACCUUGCUAAGCGAGAAGAAAUGCAAGUUAAAAGAGAAGAUAUUGACUCGUUCAUGUGCUUCUUCUUCUUCUUCUUCGAAACCCAAUUCACUAGAUGGGUUUUUCAGAAGGGAUUUCGUGCUCUUUGGUCUAUCUUCUUCCAUAUCUAUUUUCUUUCCAUCUUUGGGGUCCCUUGCAGAGGAAUAUCUAAGAAUGGACUCUUUGGUUGAUGAAAUAAAUGCUUAUACUUAUUUAUACCCAGUGGAGUUGCCAUCUAAAAAGGUCAUCUUUAAAUGGGUAGAAUCCAGAAAGCCAGAACGAUAUUCAUCAGCUGCACCAUUGUCUCGUAAGUUUAGUUAAUUUGUUAUAUUGGUGUUGAAAGUUCCAGUAAAAUGCUGCUUUUUGAUAAUAUUGAUACCCUUUUUUUUAAGACUUGACUAAGGCUUACAUUUUCCAAAUUUUCUACUUAUGCAUCAAUGUUAAGGGCACCAUGAACCUAAACACAUAUGGCAUGCAUAUAACUUACUUCGUAUUGGGUUGUACUUUAUACAGCUGAUGCACGCCUGCGCAUUGUGUCUGAGCGUGUUGACAUUAUUGAUAACUUGAUCAUUUCGGUUAUGGUAAAGUCAUAAAGACAUGCCUAUUACAUUUCAAUCCUAGUUGUUUUUUGGAGGGUUAUGAUUUUAUUUCCUUGAUUCAGAUAGGUCCCCCAAAUUUUCAGUUCAUAAAAUCUAAGGACAAGGGUACCUGGACUGCAAAAGAUGUUGCCGAUUCUGUUUUGUCAGACAAGUCUGCGCUGGUAAUUUUCUGCAUGCCUCUUUUAAAGUGAGCACUCAGCUUUAGCUUAAAUAUGGGAUGGCCUUAUGCUUUGUUUAAGACCAUUAUGACUAGAACAGGAUAUUAAAACAUUUAUGUUUUGAAUGCUACGUAUAGCUUUAUAGUUUUGAGUUGCAAGUUACAAUAUUAACAUCAUCUUAAAAUUCAUGCAACAUUGAAACUGAUAUGAAACCAAGAUUUGACUCGAUCUAUGUGUCUGGGCAACCUUUGAAACACUGGGGCAAACAUGUGUUCGAGGAACAUGCCUAUACAUGCUUUUCCAAAAGGGCAGUGCCUUAAGAUUUAGCCCCCAAAUAGGUUUGUUGAAUGGUCAAUAGAGAAUUUUGUUGAAGAAGUGUAAUUAGAUAAAACCAUGCUUGCCACUGGUUCUGAGUUGGCCAUCAUCCAUCUUGGGGCGUCUUGAAUUCUAUUUAUCUGGAAAGCUUAACUCCUUGUGACAAAGUUGAUACUGGUAUGAAAACUUCAAUCUUCUCUUCUGGCAGCGAGUCACCUCAAGUCAGCGAUUGGCUGAGAGUUCAGUUCUUGAUACCCAUACCAGUGUAGUAAGUUCUAAAGCAUUUUUCAUUUUAUGGUGUCUGAUAUUCAAUACACAUAAUGAUGCUUGUCGACGGUAGAUAUAUUUAUGCAUAUAUUGUGCUAGUUAUAUGAAGCACAUCUCCAUUACUUUUUCCCUCAGACUGAUGGUGAACCAUACUGGUAUUAUGAAUACCUUGUACGCAAGUCACCCACAAAAAUUGUAAGUAUCUCCUUUCUCAGUAGCAUUUAUGAUUGAAAGAUUUGCAUACUCAAUUAGUUGCUAAUAAUUAUCAUGGAACAUGCAGGCUCAAGAGUCAAAUCUUUAUCGGCACUAUAUUUCUUCAACAGUUGAACGAGAUGGUAGGAGCCUGAAAAUUUUGUUUUAAGAAAGCAGCUGGAUAAACAUUUAAUGCAUUCACUUCUACUUGAAAUAUUGUUCUAAUUAUAUCGAUAUCAUUUCUUGAAAUAACUUUAUGAAAUGCAUUCACUUCUACUUGAAAUAUUGUUCUAAUUAUAUCGAUAUCAUUUCUUGAAAUAACUUUAUGAAGUGCUUAAUACUUCCAAGAAAUUCAAGGAAAAAUAAAAACCAGACCUAUUGAAGGUCUAUAUGGAGCAUGAUCCAAGUAAAUAUCAACUUUUUCUUAAUCUAAGUAUACAAUUAAGAAGAAGAAAAGAAGUAAAUGUUAAGUUUAUUGAAGGUUCAAAGAGAACCUAAUAGAGCAUUUAAUGUCCAUUGCAACUGUGAUUUGGCAGGUUCAACUGGUAAGAUCCUAUUUCACUGGUGGAACUAUAUUCAAUUGUCGCUCUUGAAAUGUUCUGCAUAUUUUGCAGAUAUGGCUUCUCCAUUUUCUGGACUUCUAUUCACUCAUAAGGAACUUAAUUGCAGGUUAUCUGUAUACAAUAAAUGCUUCAACUCUUAGCAAACAGUGGAACAAGAUGGGGCCUUUCCUGGAGAAAACUGUGGCUUCAUUUCGCCUUCUCCCUCCCACAGAUAGUUAUGUACCUCCAUAUAAGGAUCCGUGGAGAUUUUGGUGAACAUAUUUCUUUUAAUUCAUUUGUCAUUGAUCCUUAAUGUAUUCCCUCCUUCACAAUAGUUUCAAAUUCAAUAGACAUGUCAUGAGUUUUAUUCUUUUACUUGAUAAUGUUAAAAUUACAGUGUUCUCUCACUCUGGGAUGACUUUUGAGAACCAGCCUAACCCAUGUCUAGCAGAUAACUUGUUAAAACCAAACUUUGCAGCAAAUAAGAAUAGCUCUGGUUAUGGAGUUAGCAUGAGACAGGUAAACCACUGCCUUCAAAGUGCCCCAUAUUUGAUCUGCCACAGCAUGAACAUUGGAUGGGGUUUUGGAUAUAAACUACUCAAGGGUUGAAAUAUAACAUAGCAGGGUAGUUUCAACUCGGAAAAUUUCUAAAAUACUUGUAUUGCUAGGUUAAGCAAGCAAAGGCAGAUAUCUUCCCAACCAUCAAACCUGUAAACAAGUUUUGAGCCUCGUUACAUUUUUCAGAAUCAAAUAAC
rnacentral:misc_RNA from 1 species